CAGUAACAUCUCUUUCAGAGUUACAGGUUUAUUCUGAGCUCACACUGACAACAUGCUGGUGACUCUCUGCGCUCUCAUCACUGCUCUAACAUGUGUGAGUGGUGUGACGGUGCUGACACAGAAACCUGUUGUAUCAGUGAGGAGAGGAGAGACAGCCACCAUGGACUGUAACCUGGGGACUGUUACUGGCUAUUCUGCUCGUUGGUACAAACAGAUUCCAGGAGGAGUUCCUCAGUAUGUGCUGAGGUUUCAUCAUAGUUAUAGUUCUCCAGAAUAUGGCUCUGGGUUCUCCUCUCCAAAAUUCACAUCCACUCACCAGUCAACAACAGAUUAUCGUUUGAUCAUCAGCAAUGUGGAGGAGGGAGACUCUGCAGUCUAUUACUGUCACACAUGGGAUGACUCUGCUAAGCAGGACGUAUCACAGUGAUUUACACUGUGACAAAAACCUCCUCACUAUUACUUCUGCUUUUUCAGACUGUCACACAUGCUGA